rnacentral:rRNA from 1 species
UACGGAGGAGGCAAGCGUUAUCCGGAAUUAUUGGGCGUAAAGCGUCCGUAGGUGGCUAGUCAAGUCUACGGUCAAAGACUGGGGCUUAACCCUGGAAAGGCCGUGGAAACUGACGAGCUAGAGUGCAGUAGGGGUAGAGGGAAUUCCCGGUGUAGCGGUGAAAUGCGUAGAGCUCGGGAAGAACAUCGGUGGCGAAAGCGCUCUACUGGACUGCAACUGACACUCAGGGACGAAAGCUAGGGGAGCGAAUGGG